UAACCAUAAAGAGAAGGCGAGAGACAAGCUCUAUGACCCUUCAGCAACCUACCACAGGUGAAAGUGUGGCAAGGUGCUAAAGCUUGAUUGAUGGGUA
rnacentral:ncRNA from 2 species